rnacentral:tRNA from 1 species
UCCCUGGUGGUCCAGUGGUUAGAACUCUGUACUCCCACUAUAGGGGACACAGGUUAGAUCCCUGUUUAGGGAG